rnacentral:rRNA from 1 species
GACGUAGGGGGCAAGCGUUGUCCGGAAUCAUUGGGCGUAAAGCGCUCGUAGGUGGAUCGGUAAGUCUGCAAAGAAAGACCCGGGCUCAACUCGGGGAACGGUGUGGAUACUACCGAUCUUGAGGCAAUCAGAGGAUGAUGGAAUUCCCGGUGUAGCGGUGAAAUGCGUGGAUAUCGGGAGGAACACCAGUGGCGAAGGCGAUCAUCUGGGGUUGUUCUGACACUGAGGAGCGAAAGCUAGGGGAGCAAACGGG